UUCUCAGGCACCUGCUGCUGUUGUCAGGUGCUAGUUUGUGUUUUGAAACCAAGUAUGAACAUACUCAGCAAUGUUAUCCUUCAGGAACCAGGAAGAUCUUCAAGACAUUCUGAGCUUCUGAGCAGCACAGGAUACUCCACCUUCCUCUAGAGCAUCAUUUCUGAAUUGUUGCUAAGUCCACAAAGGAGGUACUGACAGCUGGCCUUCCCUGCCAUUCUUAGAAGUGGUUUUGCAAGCAGUAGUUAUUUUUUAAAGUGUUACAGGAUGUUCAACGGAGCUGAAAUGUAUGGAGGAUGCCAGAGACUCUGUGACCAGGGACCAUGAAGAAACACACUGGAUCUUGUAAUCAAGACUACAAACACAUUGAAGUUAAUGACAUAUGCAAAAUUGAUGCCCAACAUUUAGCUAGAAGCUAUGCUAUGUGCAGGGGACUCUUGGUCAUCCUAUGUGUACCAACUAGUGGUGCCUG
rnacentral:lncRNA from 1 species